rnacentral:rRNA from 1 species
UGCCUAAUACAUGCAAGUCGAGCGAACAGACGAGGAGCUUGCUCCUCUGACGUUAGCGGCGGACGGGUGAGUAACACGUGGAUAACCUACCUAUAAGACUGGGAUAACUUCGGGAAACCGGAGCUAAUACCGGAUAAUAUAUUGAACCGCAUGGUUCAAUAGUGAAAGACGGUUUUGCUGUCACUUAUAGAUGGAUCCGCGCCGCAUUAGCUAGUUGGUAAGGUAACGGCUUACCAAGGCAACGAUGCGUAGCCGACCUGAGAGGGUGAUCGGCCACACUGGAACUGAGACACGGUCCAGACUCCUACGGGAGGCAGCAGUAGGGAAUCUUCCGCAAUGGGCGAAAGCCUGACGGAGCAACGCCGCGUGAGUGAUGAAGGUCUUCGGAUCGUAAAACUCUGUUAUUAGGGAAGAACAAAUGUGUAAGUAACUAUGCACGUCUUGACGGUACCUAAUCAGAAAGCCACGGCUAACUACGUGCCAGCAGCCGCGGUAAUACGUAGGUGGCAAGCGUUAUCCGGAAUUAUUGGGCGUAAAGCGCGCGUAGGUGGUUUUUUAAGUCUGAUGUGAAAGCCCACGGCUCAACCGUGGAGGGUCAUUGGAAACUGGAAAACUUGAGUGCAGAAGAGGAAAGUGGAAUUCCAUGUGUAGCGGUGAAAUGCGCAGAGAUAUGGAGGAACACCAGUGGCGAAAGGCGACUUUCUGGUCUGUAACUGACGCUGAUGUGCGAAAGCGUGGGGAUCAAACAGGAUUAGAUACCCUGGUAGUCCACGCCGUAAACGAUGAGUGCUAAGUGUUAGGGGGUUUCCGCCCCUUAGUGCUGCAGCUAACGCAUUAAGCACCUCCGCCUGGGGGAGUACGACCGCAGGUUGAAACUCAAGGAUUGACGGGAACCCGCACAAGCGGUGGAGCAUGUGGUUUAAUUCGAAGCAACGCGAAGAACCUUACCAAAUCUUGACAUCCUCUGACCCCUCUAGAGAUAGAG